rnacentral:tRNA from 1 species
GUUGAAGUGGCAGAGCCUGGUAAAUGCAAAAGACCUAAGAUCUUUAUUUCAGAGGUUCAAAUCCUCUCUUCAAUU